AACCUGCCCACUUGCUUCUGCAGGGUGAAAUCAGAGCUACAGCUUUCAACGAGCAAGUGGACAAGUUCUUUCCCCUUAUUGAAGUGAACAAGGUGUAUUAUUUCUCGAAAGGCACUCUGAAGAUUGCUAACAAACAGUUCACAGCUGUUAAAAAUGACUACGAGAUGACCUUCAAUAACGAGACUUCCGUCAUGCCCUGUGAAGACGACCGUCAUUUACCUACGGUUCAGUUUGAUUUCACGGGGAUCGAUGACCUCGAGAGCAAGUCGAAAGACUCACUCGUAGACAUCAUCGGGAUCUGCAAGAGCUACGAAGAUGCCACUAAAAUCACAGUGAGGUCUAACAACAGAGAGGUUGCCAAGAGGAAUAUCUACCUGAUGGACACAUCUGGGAAGGUGGUGACUGCCACGCUGUGGGGGGAAGAUGUAAGUGCUAGGAUGGGGCGGUCAGCGCACA